rnacentral:rRNA from 1 species
UACGGAGGGUGCAAGCGUUGUCCGGAAUCACUGGGCGUAAAGGGCGCGUAGGCGGCUCGGUAAGUAGGGGGUGAAAUCCUGCGGCUCAACCGCAGGGCUGCCUUCUAAACUGUCGAGCUCGAGCACGGUAGAGGCAGAUGGAAUUCCCGGUGUAGCGGUGGAAUGCGUAGAGAUCGGGAAGAACAUCAGUGGCGAAGGCGGCCCGCUGGGCAGUGGCUGACGCUGAGGCGCGACAGCGUGGGGAGCAAACAGG